GAUGAACGCUAGCUACAGGCUUAACACAUGCAAGUCGAGGGGCAGCAUGAACUUAGCUUGCUAAGUUUGAUGGCGACCGGCGCACGGGUGAGUAACACGUAUCCAACCUUCCGUUUACUCAGGGAUAGCCUUUCGAAAGAAAGAUUAAUACCUGAUAGUAUGGUGAGAUUGCAUGAUAACACCAUUAAAGAUUUAUUGGUAAACGAUGGGGAUGCGUUCCAUUAGGUAGUAGGCGGGGUAACGGCCCACCUAGCCUGCGAUGGAUAGGGGUUCUGAGAGGAAGGUCCCCCACAUUGGAACUGAGACACGGUCCAAACUCCUACGGGAGGCAGCAGUGAGGAAUAUUGGUCAAUGGGCAAGAGCCUGAACCAGCCAAGUAGCGUGAAGGAUGAAGGUCCUACGGAUUGUAAACUUCUUUUAAUACGGGAAUAAAGUUUCCUACGUGUAGGAUUUUGUAUGUACCGUAUGAAUAAGCAUCGGCUAACUCCGUG
rnacentral:rRNA from 1 species